AAGAUUUUAAGUUAAACUUAAACUAAUAACCUUCAAAGUUAAAAAUACUUAUAAAUUUACAAGUAAAUCUUA
rnacentral:tRNA from 1 species